rnacentral:tRNA from 1 species
GAGGGUAUAGCUCAGUGGUAGAGGCACAUGCUUAGCAUGCAUGAAGUCCCGGGUUCAAUUCCCUGGUACCUCCA